rnacentral:snoRNA from 1 species
CGAUCCUUCCGGUUCAUAGCAAAUGAUGAAUGGGAGUUGCACGCGGCUGCGUGACGUGUGCGCCCUUUGUUACGACGUGCACAGCCCCUUCUGAGC